rnacentral:tRNA from 3 species
GCGGGCGUGGCGGAAUGGUAGACGCGUCGGAUUCAAAAUCCGAUUUCCGAGAGGAAGUGUGGGUUCGAGCCCCACCGCCCGUACCA